UUACGCGUAUGUUUUCGUAAUAAUAAAUGUACAACGAAAUUUUGUAAAUAUAAUGAAUUUCCGACGAAAAUAAUAAUUAUCUAAGCCGAAACGUAUAAAUACGAUAGUAUAACACACGCGCUAGUGCACACUUCAAUGAAUUAUCCAAACGAAACGAAAGUUCGAUCCGUUUAACGGUUAUUCGCGUUCGCGUUCAAUUAUAUUUAAUAUACCUGCGUACGUGAACUUUGAAAGUUCUUAAGGCGUACAACGUCUCGAGUUUGAUU